AUUGUUGUCUGCUAUGGUUGCUGUUCUGGUGCAGGACUCAAACUAAGGUCACCGGAAUUCAACAGCUCGAUGUAUCGACUGCAGAUUGAAUCCAAAUGUAAUGGAAAACCCAAACAAUCCGGAUCGGAGAUGGUCAUCUACUUUGGUUAUAAUCUGGAUCCUCGGACAAUCGGGAUUCAGUUGAAUCCGAUCCAAUAAAUUUCCCAAACGUGAUCGACGGGAUCGCUCUUCCUCCUUUCCGUCGCUCUUUGCCGUCCCUCUCUUUCGCCUCUCCUUUACGUGAGAGAUCCAUUCGACCGCUGUUGCAGAGCGAUCGGAUUGGACAGCAAGAGGGACUCCGUCGAUGCCGGAUGGUCUAGCAGUGUUGGACUAUUUGGUGGAUCAGUUGAAGGUUCUGAGUUGUGGACUGCUGUUGGAUGACUUUUGAUGUUGACUUUGGUGGUGUAGGAGAACAAUCUUCUUGUCGAGAGGACAUCGAGCAGGGUUCUGCACACCGACUCGCGGUAUAGAAAGCUGACUAUUUUGUCCGAAUUGUCGGCGCAGAGAAACUGUCAUAUAAAGAAUAUUUUACUACAUGAAUAGAUUUGGAAAUGGGCAGCUUACCGUCAGAGAGCUUAAGCAUGGAAACUUAAUUGCUGCAAUGCAACAUGCAGAUGAGGAGGAGUAAGAUAUUAACAAAGUUCUGAGAACUACAAAAAUGAUUUUCUUGUUGUGGAUGAUCGGAAUCAGUUACAAGUUUGAAGCGUGCAUAUCUGUAGGGUACUUCUCAUAUGAGCACUUCUAUGUAAUAUACUGCAAAUUUUGGGAACUGGAUACAGAUCAUGAUUUUUUUUGACCGAUAAGGAGAACCUCAUUAGAUAUGGAAACCACUCCCUAACUUACAGAAUUCUUGACAGAAUUUUCUCGCAGGUCCCAAGAAAAUUUAUAAGCAAAGUUGAAGGAAAAAUGGGUUAUGAAGACAUUGUUUAUUUUACACGGUCAGAGGAGGACAAAUCAUCCGAGCCUAGCCUUGAGUAUUCGUAAUUCUACAUGUUUCAUUAAAUUAUCUUGAGUAAUUUUCUGACAUGCUGACUUUAUUGCAUUUGAUGUUAUUAAAUUGUUCUAAUGGCACGGCUAGCCAUAUGUACCCCAACCGAUAAAGUUCAUAUAUAUCUAGAAAAAUUCCAUGAUCAAG